AAGACUGAUUUGCUCAGACUUGGGAGCACAUUUUAGUGAAAGACUCACUUCAUAUUCUCCAUAUUCUGACUUUUCCGACUGGCAGCAAUUAGAGACAGGAUUUUAAGUUUCCUGGGCCCUUAGUAAGAAAUGGCCUCCUGUGUUUUCUUUUACCAUUGCCCAAAAGGGAAAUCUCUGUAUUUCUGAGAAUGCUGUGCUUGCUUCUGCAUGGUCUUGCAGACUUUUUCCUUCCUUGCUUCAAUUUUAUCUUCUACUACUGGAGUAAAUGGUCAGAAUGCCUGUAGUGUUGGGAGCUAGGCUAUGUUUUGUAGAUGCUGUUCAGGUGAAGAAGACAUCAGUCUCUGAAUUCUUAAGCUUUUUUUCUUUCAGGAUGCUCCCGUUCUCCUCUUUUCAAAUAAAAUAGCUCUUUUUUUCUUCCUAAGCUGCCAUUUCUGUAGUUUUUACCCAUUUUUGCUCCCUGUAGUUCCUAGCAGCAUUGCAGCAGCUAAGCCUCAAGCAAUAAGGAUGGGUUAAAUACAAGACUGAUGGAAGAGGGUGAACCAGGACCACUCCUGUUUCAAGAGAUGGGUAUAAGACUAACAGCAUGGGCACAAACCAGAGUCCUGAUCUGUGCUCAGCUCACCUGUGUGAAUAAUAGAAGAGGAUUUCCUCUAUUAAGCAUAGCCCCAGUUGGAAUUGACUCUGGAGUUCAGAAAUCUUAGUUUGAGUUUUCUCAGCAACACCUCCAGAGAGGUUUCCAAACUCUGACCCACUGAUCAAAGGCCUUGUACAAUUUGCUAAAUAGCUGGAGUGCCAAUUGGAGUUCCUACCUGCAAGGUAAAGAGACUGGGGCACACCAGCUGGGAACCAGGCUGUUCAGCAGCACCACUUUUGGCACUGGGCACAGUCAGGUGGCACAGUUUCUGGCUAUGUGGAAUAUUAUGGUAUCUUGCCAUGCAAGCAACAAUAAGAGGCUUUUCACCACUCAGCGCUACAGCUGUGGUUCACUGGGAGGAAAAAAUGCUGGGAAAAUGAUGAGUGAUGACCUCCUAAUUGUGCUGAAGUGGUCAGAGUUGAUGAGUGUGUUGCUGCUCUCAGAAGGUUAUUCAGCUCAUCCAGCUUUCCAAGGCACCUGCUCAACACUUCCUUUAAAAGAUGGACUUUGAGUCUUUACCUGCUCCUGAUGUGCAGCCAUGGUGGAAUACCCAGAGUCUCUCUUCAUCUGAAAUAAGAAGUGAGCUGAGUGAGCUUUGUACAGCUGCAGGGUGGAAGAAUGCACCACUAACAACAGCAAAUCACUUCAUCUGCAAGUUUAGUUGCAAAACUGAGGUAUUUACUCUCUGUGCCCUGUCCAUCCUUCAUUAUUGUACAAGAAAAAAAACUUCUACAGAAAGCCUUACAAAAGUUCCCUUAUUUCCUGAGGUGAGUUAAGUGUUUUACCAUAAUGCUGAUGGGGAUGUAAGGGUAGCAAACUAAAAUGGAAGAACAGCCCAAACCAAAGCUGGUGUGCUGCAGUACAGCUCUCUCCCUCGAUCUGUCCCAGAAACACACUGCAUUCUGUAGGAACUGCCCUGCAAAGGCUGACAAGCAAACGAUGACACGAGACGACUGCUCUACUAUAAGGCAGGAAUGCUGCUAAACUGACAUCGAUGAAAACCAAAAAACCUGACUACUACAAUGUGAGCUUGUGCCAUGAAGUAUUAAUGCAGCAGAACACCGUGCAGCCCUCACCCACGUGGCAGAGGAACUGGAAGAUACAGCCCCAGAGCAUGGUGAGAAAAUCAUCACUGCUUUAAGUCCAGCCGUGGUUGAUAAUGACCGAAAUAGCUGUCAGUUUCAGGAUUAAAACCUGAAGGGCAGGUGGCUGCCUCACGAUAGACCUCCUUGCGUUUGGCUCCGACUGGACUGUUGAUUGUCACCUCUGAAUUUAGCAGAGAAAAAAAGGAAAGCAUCGAGCACAAGGUUGAAGGAGCUGCUGGGUCUGAACUGCUCUCCUUGGCCACAGAAAGGUCAGUUUCAGGAGGUGUGCUGUGCCUGCCAUAGGGAUUAUUGCGUAGCUGUUUUCAUAUUGCUGCACUCUUAUCAUAAACUGUAAUUAGCGAAAGCUAAGAGAACAUUCCAUAAGGUUUUCUUGGUUUCACACAGACAUUAAGAAAAAAGCACGUGAAUUCUAAUAACAGGAAUUACAGAUUUACUGAGCAUGGCACAAUUCGAGCUGUUUUGCUCUUCAUACUUGGAACAAUAAUGAAGCACAGACAAACUAUGUUACCUAAGGUAACAAAGGAGUGUACAAAGAAGACUCCAAGGCACCUGUAUAAGGUACAAACAGUUAGAAAAUGGCUAAUUAGAGAGAUGAUGUUUCGUUACCUUUGUGAUGAUAGCAAGCGUCUUGGGAGUAUUCUUCUUGCCGUGUUUCAGAAAGGAGGAAUUCACUGCCAAAAAGAAACCAUCAUGUUAUCCAGGAGACUGGACUUUCUGAGUACAGCCUCACAAAUGUGACUCUGUCUAUUCAAGUGUUUCCAGCUCUGUUUCCCUACAAGAGAUUAGUCUGCAGAUCAAUGGGCAGCAGAGAGAAAAACUGGACUCCUUCCUCCUACUUGUAUCCCUGCUCGCUCAAGGACAGAAAAAGAUGAGGCCAGUCCACCAAACUACUGAAGUGAAACAGUUCUGGGAAGAAAAAAGAAAAAAGACAAAAAGACAAGAAGACAAGAAGAGAUCUGACAUGGAAGCACAAGCCCUAACUCCCAACCCUGUAUUUCAACACUGGAGUUGUAAAUAUUCCAGUGGGAAGAUGAGAAGAAA